CAAAGCACUUUUGAAGAGAGAGUUAAAGAGGACGUGAAACCGGUAAGGUGGAAACGGAUAGAGUCGGCGUAUCAUUCAAUUAUUCAGUUACAUUAUUUUUAUGUUGUGACCUCUGAGCUCCAGAUUGGGACAGAGGGAAUCAGCAUAAUUUUUUGUGGUGCAUUUACUUGAUUGGUGCUUGGGGAUGUUUGAGGCAGAUUUGUUUCCGUCGUUUUGAGGCCAGCUUGCUGGUACCCAAACGGUGUUAGCAUUUUUUGUCUUGGGCAUUUGAGUAUGGCUCACGUGUAUUUAUUGGACAGAUCUGAGUGUAAGUUACGGUCGCAUGCGACACGUGCUUUUCAAUUAGUUCGGUCCAGUUAAUGCUCUCGUACUCGUUCCCCAUGUAAAAGCCGGUCAUCUAUCCGACCCGUCUUGAAACACGGACCAAGGAGUUUAUCGUGUGCGCAAGUUUUUGGGUGUUAAAAACUUAAAAGCGAAAUGAAAGUAAAUGACUCUUUAGAGUCUGAUGUGCGAUCUUGUAAAAAAGUGUAGCAUGGCCCCAUUCUAACUGUUUACAGUAGGGUGGCGGAAGAGCGUACGCGGUGAGACCCGAAAGAUGGUGAACUAUUCCUGAGCAGGACGAAGCCAGAGGAAACUCUGGUGGAAGUCCGAAGCGGUUCUGACGUGCAAAUCGAUCGUCUGACUUGGGUA
rnacentral:rRNA from 1 species